GAUAAGUGCUGAAAGCAUCUAAGCAUGAAGCCCCCCUCAAGAUGAGAUUUCCCAUAGCGUAAGCUAGUAAGAUCCCUGAAAGAUGAUCAGGUUGAUAGGUUCGAGGUGGAAGCAUGGUGAUAUGUGGAGCUGACGAAUACUAAUAGAUCGAGGACUUAACCAUAUAA
rnacentral:rRNA from 1 species